AGGAAGCAUUGACGACUAUUCUCUCUCCGCUUAGCUGCUUUGCAUUUGCUGCCUACAGAAAAGCAAUUUGCCUUUCUGCAGAUAAACCUUGCCAGUUCAUCAGCAACCUAGAUGUACCACAAAGACAUUCAGAAAAUAUCCAACAGAUCAAGAACACAAGAGGAUGAAUCAUCAACCGUUCAAUUCAUAAAUGAAAUGACAUAAUUUACAUUUUCACAGACAUAUACAUGGAGAAAUUUAAGAUAUCUUAUUAUAUUUAUUAAGAAGCAA